rnacentral:rRNA from 1 species
UACGAAGGGGACUAGCGUUGUUCGGAAUCACUGGGCGUAAAGCGCACGUAGGCGGAUGUGUCAGUCAGGGGUGAAAUCCCGGAGCUCAACUUCGGAACUGCCCUUGAUACAGCACGUCUUGAGUCCGGAAGAGGUGGGUGGAAUUCCUAGUGUAGAGGUGAAAUGCGUAGAUAUCGGAAGGAACAUCAGUGGCGAAAGCGACUUCCUGGACCAAUACUGACGCUCAUGUGCGAAAGCGUGGGGAGCAAACAGG